rnacentral:rRNA from 1 species
UGCUCGAGUGGCGAACGGGUGAGUAACACGUGAGUAACCUGCCCUUGACUUUGGGAUAACUUCAGGAAACUGGGGCUAAUACCGGAUAGGAGCUCCUGCUGCAUGGUGGGGGUUGGAAAGUUUCGGCGGUUGGGGAUGGAUUCGCGGCUUAUCAGCUUGUUGGUGGGGUAGUGGCUUACCAAGGCUUUGACGGGUAGCCGGCCUGAGAGGGUGACCGGCCACAUUGGGACUGAGAUACGGCCCAG